AAAAUUAAAUAAAUAAAUAAAUAUGCAUUAAUUUAUUAGCUCUCCGUGGUUUUGCACUUUCUUACUUUAGUACAUUGUGGUUUAAAGUGUAUCAAGUUAGUAUUCUGUGGUUUCACUUUUAACUUUUCGUCAGCUUUUUCGUUAAUAUUUCGUUAAAUUAUAUACAAAAAAACUUUAGAUACCCUACCUAGGCUUAUUGAAUAUUUUACUUUACUACCUUCUAGUUUUAACUUUGUCACUGAUUUAACAAAAAAAUUAGUGGCCAAUAAUAAAAAAAUAAAAAUAAAAUUACAGGACACUAAAUUAAUACACUUUAAAUUAUAGAAUACUAAAGUUAGAAAGUGUGAAAUCAUAGGAUGAUGUUUAAAGGUUUUUCAUAAUAAUAAUAAUAAUAAUAAUAAU
rnacentral:lncRNA from 1 species